UCUUGACCUCGGAUCAGGUAGGGAUACCCGCUGAACUUAAGCAUAUCAAU
rnacentral:rRNA from 1 species